AUGCAGGCAGGAGUCGGUCUACUUGUCUCGGACGUGAUGCCUAUAUACAUGAUCAUACCUAGAUAUUCUCAUAACUAUGCUCAAUUAUGUCAAUUGCUCAACAGUAAUUCGUUCACCCACCAUAAAAUACUUAUGCUCUUGAGAGAAGCCACUAGUGAAACCUAUGGCCCCCGGGUCUAUCUUCAUCAUAUUAAUCUUCCAAUACUUAGUUAUUUCCUUUGUUUUUUUACUUUGCUUUUAUUUUACUUUGCAUAUUUAUCACAAAAAUACCAAAAAUAUUAUUCUAUCAUAUCUAUCAGAUCUCACUCUCGUAAGUGA
rnacentral:rRNA from 1 species